AAGUCGUAACAAGGUAUCUGUAGGUGAACCUGCAGAUGGAUCAUUUCGAUGAAAACCUUUUUUCUUGAGGUGUGGCUCGCACCUGUCUAACUAAAAUGAGCUACCUUUUUUAACACGGUUGCAUCGGUUGGCUGUCAAACAGUGCGCGGCAAAUUUGGAUAUUCAUUUAUUCUUCGCUGCGCGCUUGGGAGACGGUCGACACUUUACCAUAAACACUGUUGAUACCAUAGGAUUUGAACGUAGAUGAACUCGACUGGUAAUGCGGUCGUCUAAAUCUAAAAACAACUUUUGGCAACGGAUCUCUUGGUUCUCC
rnacentral:misc_RNA from 1 species